rnacentral:misc_RNA from 1 species
GCGCUGUCGACAGCGCCAGCAUAUACACAUCCAAGAAUAAGACACGAAUCGAUGUGGAAAAAAUGCAGAAGCCCAUCAUGAUUGUUGGAACGAGCGCGCCACGCCGCCGCGAGAUUGCGCAGCGCCGCUUUGGUUCCACCUACGAUCUGGUGUACCUAUCACCUGAUAUAGAUGAGAAAGAAAUCCGCGAUUCGGACCCUUUUACCCUGACGCGUGCGAUUGCGCAAGCGAAGAUGGACGAGCUUCGAGCCAAGGUGGCUCGCGACACCGCGCUGCAGGACCGUGUUGCUCAGCGGCCGGGCAGUGUCGCUGUGACCUUUGACCAGGUUGUCGACUACCACGGCGAGAUUCGCGAAAAGCCCGAGUCUGAGCAGCAAGCUGCGGCCUUCAUACAUUCAUACUCAAACGACAAUCUGGGCACUGUCAUGACGACCGUAUUGUAUGAUUUUGGGACGGGGAAGCAGGUAUCGAUGCCCAACACAACCCUCACAUUUUACGGCGAGAUCCCGGAUGAGACCGUGGCGCGUGUUGUCGAGCGCGGCGCUUGCCUGCGCGCUGCAGGCGGCUUUGUGGUGGAGGAUGUGGACAUGAAGCGGUGCGAGAUCAGGAUAGACCCUGGGACCGAGGAGGAGGUCUGCGGCUUUUGCGAGAAGUCUGUUCGUGCUCUACUGGAGGACGUGCACAGGUCGUGGGUGCAGGGUGACCGCUGCAGCGGUGGAAAAGGGUGAGAGGUGAGGGCUGCGGGCACGCAAUGUCGAGGCAGCGGCAAAGGUACUCCGCAGCGGCCUGCGGAGCGCUCCCACACGUUCUCGGCGACCCCACCCCACCCCACGUAUCCGUCGCUGAAACGUGUAUCGUCCUUUGCUGUUCUUCAUAUUGUUUGGGGAAGAAGCGAUUCCGCGCGCUCUGGCUCGUUCCCUUAGCGUGCGCUAGGACCGAUUUCGACUGCCGCCAGAUGACCCGGAAAGGGAAAAGACCAAAAGGAGGCACAACAAACAAGAACCACAACAGAAGUGCUAAUUGGAGCUAAAGCCGGGGCAGGGGUGCUGUGAAGUACACGAUUAUGCCCACGUUGUACACGUGGGAGCGCCUGAUGCGGCCAUCCUAUCUCCCUCCUUUUCUGCGUUCAUAGCCCAUGCACCUCAUCAGAUCGAAUCUAGAGGGCUAUUGAUUGUCUUGGUGCUUCUCGCGUGCAUGUUGCUACUCGCCGUUUCACUUUUCGGUGUCCUGUGUGUUUGGUAAGCGAUGACGCACGCUGUUUCUCAACCC